CGGAAAGUAGCAUAAAGUAAGUGUGUUCUGUUUACACCAGAAAGGUGGUUUAAUUUUAACCUUUUUCUU
rnacentral:tRNA from 1 species